UAGGGAAUCUUCGGCAAUGGACGAAAGUCUGACCGAGCAACGCCGCGUGAGUGAAGAAGGUUUUCGGAUCGUAAAACUCUGUUGUUAGAGAAGAACGACGAGGAGAGUGGAAAGCUCCGUGUGUGACGGUAUCUAACCAGAAAGGGACGGCUAACUACGUGCCAA
rnacentral:rRNA from 1 species